rnacentral:rRNA from 1 species
GACGAACGCUGGCGGCGUGCUUAACACAUGCAAGUCGAACGGAAAGGCCCUGCUUUUGUGGGGUGCUCGAGUGGCGAACGGGUGAGUAACACGUGAGUAACCUGACCUUGACUUUGGGAUAACUUCAGGAAACUGGGGCUAAUACCGGAUAGGAGCUCCUGCUGCAUGGUGGGGGUUGGAAAGUUUCGGCGGUUGGGGAUGGACUCGCGGCUUAUCAGCUUGUUGGUGGGGUAGUGGCUUACCAAGGCUUUGACGGGUAGCCGGCCUGAGAGGGGGACCGGCCACAUUGGGACUGAGAUACGGCCCAGACUCCUACGGGAGGCAGCAGUGGGGAAUAUUGCACAAUGGGCGGAAGCCUGAUGCAGCAACGCCGCGUGCGGGAUGACGGCCUUGGGGUUGUAAACCGCUGUCGCCUGUGACGAAGCGUGAGUGACGGUAAUGGGUAAAGAAGCACCGGCUAACUACGUG